UUGAAAUUUUAAAUUGCUAAUAACAUAAAUUAUUAUAAAUUGAUAACUUUAAAGUUAAAAAAUAUCAUUAAACUCCUGUAACGCUUUUAAAACCAUACUCAUACAUAAAAAUUUGUAAUUACGUUAUUGGUAAUAGAUAGCAUAUCUGAUUGUACUCCAUGUCAAAAUUCUGACAUAUGUCAAACAGAUUUUAAGUUUGGUUAUGUUUAUCUUGAUGCAUUUAUCUUUAUUUAUUUGUUUUAGAAGUAACAGUUUAGUAAUAAAGUUUAAUUAACAUAAAUUGAAUAUAAAUUGUCAUUGGAAUUGGUUGUUGGAUCCCUUAAGCUUUGUAUUAAGCUAAGUUUCCUAAAAAUCCGUUCUUACAAUCAUCAUGGAAUGUAAUAAAACACUCUUCCUUUUAAAUUAUUUUUGAGUUUGCUACAUCAUCCUCAUAAAACUAACCAUGAACCUGAGAAUUCUUUAAUAAUGUUGGUCUUCAAUGCAACAAAGUAAGAUGUUUCAUAUACAAUUUUUUAAUAAUUAUUCUUCUUUUAUUGAUUAAUGUUCCAUGCAAGUGGUUCAUUAGGACUUUUUUAGGUUGGAUUAUUUAUUUUCUCAUCCUUGGAUUAACCUACAAAUUUAAAUAAGCAUUAGCUACAGAAGUGUUGAGAUCCAAAUUAUGCCUUGUCAAGUUUGGAAAUUAUGAAACUAAUCUAAAAUUAGUUAAAACUCAAUAAUUUGGUAAUCAAAAAAACUGGGUUAUGUGUAAUAAUUUACAAACUCUGAUACCUAAUCACAUUAAAAGUAUUUGAUUACAUGAAACUUGAAUUGCAAAAAUUCCCUGCAAUGAGACUUACAUAAUUCCUAUAUUGAAUUAAUUUGUUCCCAAAACGCUAUAUUUUCCGUUACCUCUUUAACCUAUAAAAUAAAAUGAUUUAUUUUUAGAUCAGUCCAAAUUUUAAUAGAUCAAGGUUUCAUAAAGUUUACAAGUAUUACAUGAUUCAUGUUUUACCGUUAUAUUGCAUAAUGGAUUGAAAUUUACGACCCAUAACAACGUUAAUUCUCCCCUAACAAUAUUCAUAAAUGCACUGCAGUAAGCAAAGUUUAGAUACAUAUUAGUUGAGAGAUUUUAAUGUAAAUAAAACAGUUUAUAUUUCA